UACGUAGGGGGCAAGCGUUGUCCGGAAUCAUUGGGCGUAAAGAGCGCGUAGGCGGUCCGGUAAGUCCGCUGUGAAAGUCGGGGGCUCAACCCUCGAAUGCCGGUGGAUACUGUCGGGCUAGAGUGCGGAAGAGGCGAGUGGAAUUCCUGGUGUAGCGGUGAAAUGCGCAGAUAUCAGGAGGAACACCGAUGGCGAAGGCAGGUCUCUGGGCCACUACUGACGCUGAGAAGCGAAAGCAUGGGGAGCGAACAGG
rnacentral:rRNA from 1 species